rnacentral:rRNA from 1 species
AGACCCGAAACCCGGUGAUCUAGCCAUGGGCAGGUUGAAGGUUGGGUAACACUAACUGGAGGACCGAACCGACUAAUGUUGAAAAAUUAGCGGAUGACCUGUGGCUGGGGGUGAAAGGCCAAUCAAACCGGGAGAUAGCUGGUUCUCCCCGAAAGCUAUUUAGGUAGCGCCUCGUGAAUUCAUCUCCGGGGGUAGAGCACUGUUUCGGCUAGGGGGCCAUCCCGGCUUACCAACCCGAUGCAAACUGCGAAUACCGGAGAAUGUUAUCACGGGAGACACACGGCGGGUGCUAACGUCCGUCGUGAAGAGGGAAACAACCCAGACCGCCAGCUAAGGUCCCAAAGUCAUGGUUAAGUGGGAAACGAUGUGGGAAGGCCCAGACAGCCAGGAUGUUGGCUUAGAAGCAGCCAUCAUUUAAAGAAAGCGUAAUAGCUCACUGGUCGAGUCGGCCUGCGCGGAAGAUGUAACGGGGCUAAACCAUGCACCGAAGCUGCGGCAGCGACACUGUGUGUUGUUGGGUAGGGGAGCGUUCUGUAAGCCUGUGAAGGUGUGUCGUGAGGCAUGCUGGAGGUAUCAGAAGUGCGAAUGCUGACAUAAGUAACGAUAAAGCGGGUGAAAAGCCCGCUCGCCGGAAGACCAAGGGUUCCUGUCCAACGUUAAUCGGGGCAGGGUGAGUCGACCCCUAAGGCGAGGCCGAAAGGCGUAGUCGAUGGGAAACGGGUUAAUAUUCCCGUACUUGGUGUUACUGCGAAGGGGGGACGGAGAAGGCUAUGUUGGCCGGGCGACGGUUGUCCCGGUUUAAGCGUGUAGGUGUGUGUUCCAGGUAAAUCCGGUUCACUUUAACACUGAG